rnacentral:rRNA from 1 species
UACAUAGGGGGCAAGCGUUAUCCGGAAUUAUUGGGCGUAAAGGGUGCGUAGGUGGUUAAUUAAGUCUUUGGUAUAAGUGCAGUGCUCAACGCUGUGACGCUAAAGAAACUGGUUGACUUGAGUGUAGUAGAGGCAAGUGGAAUUCCAUGUGUAGCGGUAAAAUGCGUAAAUAUAUGGAGGAACACCGGUGGCGAAGGCGGCUUGCUGGGCUAUAACUGACACUGAGGCACGAAAGCGUGGGGAGCAAACAGGAUUAGAUACCCUGGUAGUCCACGCCGUAAACGAUGAGUACUAAGUGUAGGGGAAACUCUGUGCUGUAGUUAACGCAAUAAGUACUCCGCCUGAGUAGUACGUACGCAAGUAUGAA